rnacentral:rRNA from 1 species
UACGUAGGUGGCAAGCGUUGUUCGGAAUUAUUGGGCGUAAAGGGCGCGUAGGCGGCUUGUUAAGUCGGUUGUGAAAGCCCCGGGCUUAACUUGGGAACUGCAUUCGAUACUGCCCGACUAGAGUAUGGUAGAGGAAAGCGGAAUUCCCGGUGUAGCGGUGAAAUGCGUAGAUAUCGGGAGGAACAUCAGUGGCGAAGGCGGCUUUCUGGACCAAUACUGACGCUGAGGCGCGAAAGCGUGGGUAGCAAACAGG